rnacentral:rRNA from 1 species
GUUUGAUCCUGGCUCAAACGAACGCUGGCGGCGUGCCUAACACAUGCAAGUCGUGCGGAAAGGCUCCUUCGGGAGUGCUCGAGCGGGGCACGGGUGAGUAACGCGUGUGUAAUCUACCUAAGGGCUCGGGACUACUCCGGGAAACUGGGUCUAAUACCGGAUAAGACCACGGGGCCUUCGGGUCCUGAGGGAAAAGGUGGCCUCUGCUUGCAAGCUACCGCCCUUUGAUGAUCCCGCGUCCCAUUAUGUAGUUGGUGGGGUAACGGCCUACCAUGGCUACAAUGGGUAACUGGUCUGAGAGGAUGAUCAACCACACUGGAACUGAUACACGGGCCAGACUCCUACAGGAGGGAACAGUCGGGAAUUUUGGGAUAUGGGCGAAAGCCUGACCCAACAACGCCGCGUGAGGUAUGAAGGCCCUCGGGUCGUAAACCUCUGUCGGGAGGGGAGAACGGUCGCGAUUCGAACAGGAUCACGACCUGACGGUACCUCCUAGGAAGCACCGGCUAACUCCGUGCCAGCAGCCGCGGUAAUACUGAGGGUGCCUGCGUUGUUCGGAAUCAUUGGGCGUAUAGCGCGUGUAAUCGGCUUGGCAAGUCCUUUGUGAAAUCCCUGCGCCCGACCCCGGAACUGCAUUCUAAACUGCAUCGCUAGAGUCCUGGAGAGGAAGGCGGAAUUCCCGGUGUAGAGGUGAAAUCGUAGAUAUCGAGAGGAACACCAUGGGCGAAGGCUGACUUCUGUACGGUGACUGACGCUGAGACGCGAAAGCGUGGGGAGCAAACACGAUUAGAUACCCUGGUAGUGCACGCCGUAAACGUUGGGUGCUAGGUGUCGCGGGUAUUUACCCCUGCGGUGCCGAAGCUAACGCAUUAAGCUCGCCGCCUGGGAAGUACGGUUGCAAGGCUAAAACUCAAAGGAAUUGACGGGGGCCCGCACCAGCGGUGGAGCAUGUGGUUUAAUUUGAAGCAACGCGCAGAACCUUACCUGGGCUUGACAUCCGCGGAACCCCUCUGAAAGGAGGGGGUGCCUUCGGGAGCCGCGAGACAGGUGUUGCAUGGCUGUCGUCAGCUCGUGUCGUGAGGUGUUGGGUUAAGUCCCGCAACGAGCGCAACCCCUGCCGUUAGUUGCCACCAGUUCGGCUGGGCACUCUAAUGGGACUGCCGGUGUUAAACCGGAGGAAGGUGGGGAUGACGUCAAGUCCUCAUGGCCCUUAUGCCCAGGGCUACUCACGUGCUACAAUGGCCGGUACAAAGGGUCGCAAACCCGCGAGGGUAAGCCAAUCCCAGAAAGCCGGCCUCAGUUCGGAUUGGAGUUUGCAAUUUGACUCCAUGAAGGUGGAAUCGCUAGUAAUCGCGGAUCAGCAUGCCGCGGUGAAUACGUUUCCGGGCUUUGUACACCCCCCCCGUCACACCACGAAAGCUGCUUGAACCCGAAGUCCGUUACCCAACCGCAAGGAGGGAACGGCCCAAGGUUUGAGUGGUGAUUGGGGUGAAGUUGUACAAGGUAACCGUA